rnacentral:lncRNA from 1 species
AAAUGACAUCAGGUUAUCUUUUUAACAUUUUGCCUUUUCUUGGUGUUGGUUAUUAUUUUAUGGAUUUGUACAUACAUAUCAGCCCUUCAUAGAUCUUCGGUUGGGUCUGGUCGAGUCUUAUAGCGUGGCUUACACGCAGAGGGUUCAUGUUGUUUCUGUUACGUGGUGGUUUGUGGUAGUUUCUCAAUUUUUGAAUCUGUUUCCAUUGUGCAGAUUUGGGGGUACCGUGCAAUGAUUCAGGGCGUGUAUACACACGUGUAUUGAGCCAAUUGGGGUGGUUAACGUUUCCAUCUUUAACAUUUAAAAAAAUCAGCCAGGUACGGCCAUACAUACCUGUAAUCCCAGCGGUGUGGGAGGCUGAGGCAGGAGGAUGGCAAGUUCGAGGCCAGCCUAGGCAACUUAUUGAGACUUUCAGCAACUUUUUUUUGUGGGGGGUACUCAGCAUUGAACUCAGGCGCACUAGGCCACUGAACCCCUUCCCCAGCCCUGUUUUGUUUUUUAUUUAGAGACAGGGUCUCACUGAGUUGCUUAGGGCCUCACUAAGUUGCUGAGGCUGGGUUUGAGCUCGCGAUCCUCCUGCCUCAGCCUCCCAAGCUUCUGGGAUGACAGGUGUGCGCCACUGUACCUGGCUGGCUCUCAGUAAGUUAUAAAGGGCUGGGGGCAUGGAUUAAACAUUUUUUUUUAUUUACAUGUAAUAAUUGUACAUAUUUUUGAAGUGUGAUGUGGUGUUUCAACAUAUAUGUAUGGUGUGCACUGAUCAAAUCAGGGUCAAUGAAUGUUUCCACCUCCUUAUCAUUACUUUGUGUUGAGUUGUAGUUGUUUAUUCUGGUAACAAGUCGUUUGUCACAUACAUACGGGUAUAGUAUAAAAUUGUCCCCAGUCUCUGGUUUGCCUAUUAAUUUUGUUAAUGGUGCCUAUUUAUAAUUUUUUUUUUAGUUGCAGAUGGACACGAUACCUUUAUUUUUUAUUUGUAUGUGGUGCUGAGGCUCGAACCCAGGGCCUCACAUGUGCUAGGCAAGCACCCUACCCCUGAGCCCCGGCCCUUAAAGGUGCCUUUUAAUGAGCAGAACAUUUGCAUCUUGAUACAGUCCACCUUUUCUUCUUUUCUGGGGUUGGAGUUUUAUGUCUCCUGAUCAGGAAAUCUUUGCCUACCUGGUGUCUAUUUUUUCCUGCUUUUUGUAUCUAGAUCCAUUUUGAAGUGAGUUUGUGGAGCCGUGAGCUGGCAGUCGAGGUACAUUCCCCCUUGGUCCACAUUAUUUGUUAAAGUGCUUCUCUUUCCCCAGUGAUUUAAUUUAAUUUGCCUUGCUUUGUGUUUUAGCAUUGUUCUUUAAAUAGUUCUAAUCCUCUUUUGUGUGUGUGUGUGAGACAUUAUAAAAAGGCCUCGGUGCAGUUAUUGCAGGCAUAGUCUUCAACCCUGGGGACUCUGUCAGUAUGGUGGCCUUUCCUAGAUCCUGUGUAGGUGACAGUCCCCUGAUGGGACUGGGCUUGCUGACUCAAGUGAUGAGGUGCCCAUGGUUUCCCCAAAUGGAGGAGAGGUUGAUGGACACCAAUCGCCAGAUGCAGGCUUCCCAGGAACAUUCCUGUAAACAAGAUCUCAAGGUCUUAAUGGACCACAAGCUCAACAAAAACCAAGAAUUUCAGGCAACUUAUAACUAACUUCCCUGUGAACGCAGGUGACCACAUCACGGUGACUCUCUGCAUGUACAGCCACCAGGCUGGGGUCCUGAUUGGAAUCAGGUGUACUCCAUGUUUUUGUAAAUAAGUCAAAUAUACUCUACUGUCACGAAUAACCCAAAAGAACACAUUAAAAAAAAAUCGAAGGUGGCUGAGGUGUCCUCUGCUGCUGGCUUUUCCACAGUCCAUUCC